AUUGAACGCUGGCGGCAUGCUUUACACAUGCAAGUCGAACGGUAACAGGCCGCAAGGUGCUGACGAGUGGCGAACGGGUGAGUAAUGCAUCGGAACGUGCCCAGUCGUGGGGGAUAACGCAGCGAAAGCUGCGCUAAUACCGCAUACGAUCUAUGGAUGAAAGCGGGGGACCGUAAGGCCUCGCGCGAUUGGAGCGGCCGAUGUCAGAUUAGGUAGUUGGUGGGGUAAAGGCUCACCAAGCCAACGAUCUGUAGCUGGUCUGAGAGGACGACCAGCCACACUGGGACUGAGACACGGCCCAGACUCCUACGGGAGGCAGCAGUGGGGAAUUUUGGACAAUGGGCGCAAGCCUGAUCCAGCAAUGCCGCGUGCAGGAAGAAGGCCUUCGGGUUGUAAACUGCUUUUGUACGGAACGAAAAGGCUCUGGUUAAUACCUGGGGCUCAUGACGGUACCGUAAGAAUAAGCACCGGCUAACUACGUGCCAGCCGCCGCGGUAACAC
rnacentral:rRNA from 1 species